rfam:Schistosoma mansoni strain Puerto Rico chromosome W, complete genome
AUCCAGCUAACGAGUCCCAAAUAGGACGAAACGCGCAUCCUGGAU